rnacentral:rRNA from 1 species
CAUUACUGAGUUUACGCUCUACAACCCUUUGUGAACAUACCUAUAACUGUUGCUUCGGCGGGUAGGGUCUCCGCGACCCUCCCGGCCUCCCGCCUCCGGGCGGGUCGGCGCCCGCCGGAGGAUAACCAAACUCUGAUUUAACGACGUUUCUUCUGAGUGGUACAAGCAAAUAAUCAAAACUUUUAACAACGGAUCUCUUGGUUCUGGCAUCGAUGAAGAACGCAGCGAAAUGCGAUAAGUAAUGUGAAUUGCAGAAUUCAGUGAAUCAUCGAAUCUUUGAACGCACAUUGCGCCCGCCAGCAUUCUGGCGGGCAUGCCUGUUCGAGCGUCAUUUCAACCCUCAAGCUCUGCUUGGUGUUGGGGCCCUACAGCUGAUGUAGGCCCUCAAAGGUAGUGGCGGACCCUCCCGGAGCCUCCUUUGCGUAGUAACUUUACGUCUCGCACUGGGAUCCGGAGGGACUCUUGCCGUAAAACCCCCAAUUUUCCAAAGGUUGACCUCGGAUCAGGUAG